GUGGGGAAUUUUGGACAAUGGGCGCAAGCCUGAUCCAGUCAUGCCGCGUGCAGGAAGACGCAUCUAUGGUGUGUAAACUGCUUUUGUACGGGAAGAAACACUCCCUCGUGAGGGAGCUUGACGGUACCGUAAGAAUAAGGAUCGGCUAACUCCGUGCCAGCAGCCGCGGUAAUACGGAGGAUCCAAGCGUUAUCCGGAAUCAUUGGGUUUAAAGGGUCCGUAGGCGGUUUAAUAAGUCAGUGGUGAAAGCCAAUCGCUCAACGAUGGAACGGCCAUUGAUACUGUUAGACUUGAAUUACAAGGAAGUAACUAGAAUAUGUAGUGUAGCGGUGAAAUGCUUAGAUAUUACAUGGAAUACCAAUUGCGAAGGCAGGUUACUACUUGUGGAUUGACGCUGAUGGACGAAAGCGUGGGGAGCGAACAGGAUUAGAAACCCGGGUAGUCC
rnacentral:rRNA from 1 species